GCUGGGGAUCAGAAGGAGAGGAGGGGGAUGAGGGUAGGGGGAUUGUAGAAGGGGAGGGGAAAAGGGCAGGGAGGUGUGGGGAGGGGACAGAGCUUGCGGGGAUGGGUGGAGGGACAGAUAGGGGCAUGGGAGGUCAGGGGCCAGGCAGGGAGUGCAGGUCUAGGCUGCACUGUCCCCUCAGCAAGAAGUUCCUGUGGGAGGAGCUGGAACUGGUGCGGGAGGAGGUGACCUUCAUCUAUCAGAAGCUCCGUAAGUUCCUGGAGCCCACAGCCGGUGUGUGGGGAGGGGGUCCUUCUUCAGCCUUUGUCCCCCUGAGCCCCCUCCCUCCACAGAAGCGCAGGAGGAUGAGAUCUCAGAGAACCUGGUGAACAUUCAGAAAAUGCAGAAAACGCAGGUGAAAUGCCGCAAAAUCCUGACCAAGAUGAAGCAGCAGGGUCAUGAGACAGCCGCCUGUCCGGAGACUGAAGAGAUACCGCAGGGAACCAGUGGCUGCUGGAAGGAUGACCUCCAGAAGGAACUGAGUGAUAUAUGGUCUGCUGUGCACGUGCUGCAGAACUCCAUAGACAGCCUCACUUUGUGCUUGGGGGCCCGUCCCAAGGCCUCGAGCCUAAGAGGCCACAAGGGGCACCAGUGCCUGAGCCCUCCACUCCCCUCCUGGGACUCUGACUCCGACUCUGACCAGGACCUCUCCCAGCCACCUUUCAGCAAGAGCGGCCGCUCCUUCCCACCCGGUGCAGAUCCUCCCCGGUCCCCCCCUCCACCCAUUUCCCUCCUGACCUGCCCUUGACUCCCACAGUCUAGACCCUCAGAACAGGCCCAGAUCCCGAUCUGGGCAUGCGGUCCCUGACCUGCAGCCCCGGAGUCCCCUGGACCUGGCCAGGCCCUGACCCACCCUCUCUCUCCACAGCUUGAGCAGCCGGGACUGCUCUCCCUGAAGACCCCUCCAGAGAGAAAAUAAACUAGCGCAGACCCUCCUCUAGCCCCGACUGUUAGUCCUGCUGCUUCCUGUGCCUAGGAAUCCCCCUGCCCUCCCAGUUUACUCCUCAUUGUUGGGGGGGAGGGGUGUAGAGACCCCAGGGGUCAUUCGGGAUGUGUGGGCUGGAA
rnacentral:lncRNA from 1 species